rnacentral:misc_RNA from 1 species
AACGCAUAUUGCGCCCGCUGGUAUUCCGGCGGGCAUGCCUGUCCGAGCGUCAUUUCAACCCUCAAGCCCUGGUUUGCUUGGUGUUGGGGCCCUCCGGUAGCCCGUAGGCCCUCGAAGUCAGUGGCGGGCUCGCCUUUAACCCCGAGCGCAGUAGUAUCCAUCUCGCUUAGGGCGUUGGGCGGGUUUUCUAGCCAUUAAACCCCCAAAUCUUCUCAGGUUGACCUCGGAUCAGGUAGGAAUACCCGCUGAACUUAA